GAAAAAAUAAAGAUCAGAAUAGUAGAGGAUUUUAGUCACUCCAGAGAGUUUCCGGUUGGUGCAAGGAGACAGUGAACGAUCGUCGAACACGCCUGUAAAUUGUUUUUCUGAAUACCUGUAGGAAAAAUCGGUACUGCCCGUUAUCGCUUUUAGUCGUAGACUAACAGAGUUUUUCGCUGAGAGGCGGAAAUGAAUCUGAGGUGGGACCACGUGAAAAAAUUCUCGUCCUCUUG
rnacentral:ncRNA from 1 species